rnacentral:ncRNA from 1 species
CACUCUGGAGAAUCCCACCUGUGUGGGUGCCGAAGGGGCAAUCGGCGGUCACGCCGCAAUCUCUCAGGCAAAAGGACAGAGCG